UACGGAGGGCGCGAGCGUUAAUCGGAAUUACUGGGUGUAAAGGGCGUGUAGGCGGAGCUGCAAGUCAGAUGUGAAAUCCCGGGGCUCAACCCCGGAACUGCAUUUGAAACUGUAGCCCUUGAGUAUCGGAGAGGCAGGCGGAAUUCCUAGUGUAGCGGUGAAAUGCGUAGAUAUUAGGAGGAACACCAGUGGCGAAGGCGGCCUGCUGGACGACAACUGACGCUGAGGCGCGAAAGCGUGGGGAGCAAACAGG
rnacentral:rRNA from 1 species